UGAGGAAUAUUGGUCAAUGGACGAGAGUCUGAACCAGCCAAGUAGCGUGAAGGAUGACUGCCCUAUGGGUUGUAAACUUCUUUUAUACGGGAAUAAAGUGAGGCACGUGUGCCUUUUUGUAUGUACCGUAUGAAUAAGGAUCGGCUAACUCCGUGCCAGCAGCCGCGGUAAUACGGAGGAUCCGAGCGUUAUCCGGAUUUAUUGGGUUUAAAGGGAGCGUAGGCGGACGCUUAAGUCAGUUGUGAAAGUUUGCGGCUCAACCGUAAAAUUGCAGUUGAUACUGGGUGUCUUGAGUACAGUAGAGGCAGGCGGAAUUCGUGGUGUAGCGGUGAAAUGCUUAGAUAUCACGAGGAACUCCGAUUGCGAAGGCAGCUUGCUGGACUGUAACUGACGCUGAUGCUCGAAAGUGUGGGUAUCAAACAGGAUUAGAUACCCUGGUAGUCCACACAGUAAACGAUGAAUACUCGCUGUUUGCGAUAUACAGUAAGCGGCCAAGCGAAAGCGUUAAGUAUUCCACCUGGGGAGUACGCCGGCAACGGUGAAACUCAAAGGAAUUGACGGGGGCCCGCACAAGCGGAGGAACAUGUGGUUUAAUUCGAUGAUACGCGAGGAACCUUACCCGGGCUUGAAUUGCAACUGAAUGAUGUGGAGACAUGUCAGCCGCAAGGCAGUUGUGAAGGUGCUGCAUGGUUGUCGUCAGCUCGUGCCGUGAGGUGUCGGCUUAAGUGCCAUAACGAGCGCAACCCUUAUCGAUAGUUACCAUCAGGUUAUGCUGGGGACUCUGUCGAGACUGCCGUCGUAAGAUGUGAGGAAGGUGGGGAUGACGUCAAAUCAGCACGGCCCUUACGUCCGGGGCUACACACGUGUUACAAUGGGGGGUACAGAAGGCAGCUACACGGCGACGUGAUGCUAAUCCCGAAAGCCUCUCUCAGUUCGGAUUGGAGUCUGCAACCCGACUCCAUGAAGCUGGAUUCGCUAGUAAUCGCGCAUCAGCCACGGCGCGGUGAAUACGUUCCC
rnacentral:rRNA from 1 species